GGCUCAGAACUAACGCUGGCGGCGUGGCUUAGGCAUGCAAGUCGAACGGCAAAGUCCGCAAGGACGAGUAAGUGGCGAAAGGGUGCGUAAUACUCGGGCAAUCUGCCUCUGGGACGAGGAUAGCCGCGGGAAACUGCGGGCAAUACUGGAUAGGCUCACGAGGGCUGCGGCCCUUGGGAGUAAUCGGUGGGGAUCCGCAAGGACCUUCCGCCCAGAGAGGAGCUCGAGGCCUAUCAGGUAGUUGGCGGGGUAACGGCCCACCAAGCCUACGACGGGUACCCGGACUGAGAGGUCGGCCGGGCACACUGGCACUGAGACACUGGCCAGACUCCUACGGGAGGCUGCAGUCGAGAAUCUUCCGCAAUGGGGGGCAACCCUGACGGAGCGACGCCGCGUGGAGGAAGAA
rnacentral:rRNA from 1 species